GACAGCUUGGCCGAGUGGUUAAGACGAUAGACUAGAAAUCUAUUGGGAUAACCCGCGUGAGUUCAAAUCUCACAGCUGUCG
rfam:Phytophthora infestans T30-4 supercont1.81 genomic scaffold, whole genome shotgun sequence.